AGUGAACGCUGGCGGUAGGCCUAACACAUGCAAGUCGAACGGCAGCACAGUAAGAUCUUGCUCUUACGGGUGGCGAGUGGCGGACGGGUGAGGAAUACAUCGCCAUCUACUUUUUCGUGGGGGAUAACGUAGGGAAACUUCCGCUAAUACCUCAUACUACCUACGGGUGAAUGCAGGGGAUCUUCAGGCCUUGCGCGUUUGUAUUAGCUGAUGCCGGAUUAGCUAGUUGGCGGGGUAAGGGCCCACCAAGGCGACGAUCCGUAGCUGAUCUGAGAGGAUGAUCAGCCACACUGGAACUGAGACACGGUCCAGACUCCUACGGGAGGCAGCAGUGGGGAAUAUUGGACAAUGGGCGCAAGCCUGAUCCAGCCAGACCGCGUGGGUGAAGAAGGCCUUCGGGUUGUAAAGCCCUGUUGUUGGGAAAGAAAAGCAGCAGGUUAAUACCUCGCUGUUCUGACGGUACCCAAAGAAUAAGCACCGGCUAACUACGUG
rnacentral:rRNA from 1 species